rnacentral:rRNA from 1 species
AUUGAACGCUGGCGGCGUGCUUAACACAUGCAAGUCGUGCGGUAACAGGCGUAGCAAUACGUGCUGACGAGCGGCGAACGGGUGCGUAAUACAUGGGAAUCUGCCCUUUGGUGGGGAAUAACCCGGCGAAAGCCGGGCUAAUGCCGCAUAAGAUCUUCGGAUGAAAGCGGGGGAUCGUAAGACCUCGCGCCGAUGGAUGAGCCCAUGUCGGAUUAGCUAGUUGGNGAGGUAACGGCUCACCAAGGCGACGAUCCGUAGCUGGUCUGAGAGGACGGCCAGCCACACUGGGACUGAGACACGGCCCAGACUCCUACGGGAGGCAGCAGUGGGGAAUAUUGGACAAUGGGCGAAAGCCUGAUCCAGCGACGCCGCGUGUGUGAAGAA